rnacentral:lncRNA from 1 species
GGCUAAACAGGUACUGAAUUACUUCUGAUUGCACAGCCAAACCUCUUCAGCAGGAGAAAGAUAUUUUGUUUACUUACCUAGAUCUACACUAACAGUUGGGUGCAAUUUAUUUAUCAAGGUAUAAAAUUUGACAGAGAGUGCUCAAUGCCGCCUCCAAGGUGGCAGGAUAAGCACCCUGAAUAAAGAGCUCCAUAGGUAAGGGAGAGCCACUGAUUUACUAGGAAGAGAAAACAAUUCAAGGAGACAAUUCAGAGGAAACUUCUCCUGCCUGUGUGGAGCCACAGAUGUGCACUGGAAGGCUCUGAGUCAAGCUCUGUUGAAACAAGCUCUUUCUCAAGUCCUGUAGAUGGUGCCUUCUCUGGGGUUGGAACCAAGAGAGUUGGUGGUACCUGGUCAUGGUGCUGCAAGACAUACACGAAGUCCUUUCCCCUUUGGAGAUGACAUGGAUGGGAAAUGGCUCAUUGUAGCAACAGGAGACAACAACAAUUGCAUCACAGUAAAGCAAACAUCAAAGCACAGUCCACGCCAAAGAGCUGGGGGAAAAAUUCAUAUGUGACACUCUGACGUGUUGAAGUCCAGCUUGGGAGGGUUUUGGCAACACAGAAAUGAAGAGCAAGCAGUUGCCAUUUCCCAGACCUUGUUUGUCUUGGUGUUUGUGUGAAGCAGCCUGGGCUGAGGACACGAUGGACCUGCAGCCUUUCACAUCCCUGUGCCUGUGACAGCCCUCCAGGGCCACUGCACAGCCAGGCUGCACUGGAUGGAAUUGUUUAAAAAAGCAGCUCUGAAAGACUGAACCAAACUGGAACCUGCCUUUCACUAAGCACUAAUAACCUGUCUGACAGCCCACGUAUAAAAAUUACAGUGCUUAUUGUUGAUGUUUAUUUUCACUUUAAUAAGGAGUUGCUGUAGGUAGCCAGCCUGAUUAAGUAUUUUAACAACUCCCUUCUGAAGGUAAUUAAGUUCUGCAGUGAAAUGUAAGGAAUUUGGCAUCAAAAAACCAUUAAGGCAGAUAUUUUAAAUGAAUAAACAAACAUAACUCUUUCCA